rnacentral:ncRNA from 1 species
CGCAGAGUAGAGACAUAAGCGUUAAGUGCCUUUUGAACAGGGAGUUGUCAUUAGGACGAAGGUUUAUCCGCGGUUUACGUCUCGCAUCCCGCUGCU